AGAGUUUGAUCCUGGCUCAGGAUGAACGCUGGCGGCGUGCCUAACACAUGCAAGUCGAACGGGGACAGACGGAAACCUAGUGAAGUCUGUCCGAGUGGCGGACGGGUGAGUAACGCGUGGAUAACCUGCCGCAUGCAGGGGGAUACCGGCUGGAAACAGCCGCUAAUACCGCAUAAGCGCACGGUGCCGCAUGGCAGAGUGCGAAAAGGAGAAAUCCGGCAAGCGAUGGAUCCGCGUCCGAUUAGCCAGUUGGCGGGGUAAGGGCCCACCAAAGCGACGAUCGGUAGCCGGCCUGAGAGGGCGGACGGCCACAUUGGGACUGAGACACGGCCCAGACUCCUACGGGAGGCAGCAGUGGGGGAUAUUGCACAAUGGGGGAAACCCUGAUGCAGCGACGCCGCGUGGGUGAAGAAGUAUUUCGGUAUGUAAAGCCCUAUCAGCAGGGAAGAAAGAAGACGGUACCUGACUAAGAAGCCCCGGCUAACUACGUGCCAGCAGCCGCGGUAAUACGUAGGGGGCGAGCGUUAUCCGGAUUCACUGGGUGUAAAGGGAGCGUAGACGGCCGUGCAAGCCAGGAGUGAAAGCCCGGGGCCCAACCCCGGGACUGCUCUUGGAACUGUGCGGCUGGAGUGCGGGAGGGGCAGGCGGAAUUCCUGGUGUAGCGGUGAAAUGCGUAGAUAUCAGGAGGAACACCGGCGGCGAAGGCGGCCUGCUGGACCGCGACUGACGUUGAGGCUCGAAAGCGUGGGGAGCGAACAGGAUUAGAUACCCUGGUAGUCCACGCCGUAAACGAUGACUACUAGGUGUCGGGGCACGACAGUGCUUCG
rnacentral:rRNA from 1 species